rnacentral:rRNA from 1 species
GAUGAACGCUGGCGGCGUGCCUAAUACAUGCAAGUCGAGCGAACAGACGAGGAGCUUGCUCCUUUGACGUUAGCGGCGGACGGGUGAGUAACACGUGGGUAACCUACCUAUAAGACUGGGAUAACUUCGGGAAACCGGAGCUAAUACCGGAUAAUAUUUCGAACCGCAUGGUUCGAUAGUGAAAGAUGGCUUUGCUAUCACUUAUAGAUGGACCUGCGCCGUAUUAGCUAGUUGGUAGGUAACGGCUUACCAAGGCAACGAUACGUAGCCGACCUGAGAGGGUGAUCGGCCACACUGGAACUGAGACACGGUCCAGACUCCUACGGGAGGCAGCAGUAGGGAAUCUUCCGCAAUGGGCGAAAGCCUGACGGAGCAACGCCGCGUGAGUGAUGAAGGUCUUCGGAUCGUAAAACUCUGUUAUUAGGGAAGAAUAAACGUGUAAGUAACUGUGCACGUCUUGACGGUACCUAAUCAGAAAGCCACGGCUAACUACGUG